CAUGAAUGGCAAAUAAUCUUCGAUUACAAGUACCCAACUAGCUUCUUUCCACUCCCAUAUGUCAAAGUAAUCCACAUGUAGAACUACAAGUGACAGAGAUCCUCCCAGGUUUAUCAGAUACGUCGUAACUGUUAUCCUGUCUUCGUAACGCAGGUCUGGUGAAUAGUAAGGCAGCUCCAUAACUCCGAAUCUCUCUUCCAUAUCCACGUAGAGGAUUAUACCAGGAUCUUCCAAAGAAACAAGCCAGUAGAUUUUUCCUCCUACAAAGACAUGACUGGAUCUGUGUGGGGUAAGAAAAACAUACAUUGGAAGAUGAGGCACAGCGCCGAUGAUCCUCCACGCACCAGUGCUAGAAGAAUACACCUCACACUCUAUGUGCAAACCUGCUCCAUUCUCACCAUCAGAGACUAUGCGGAAAAUUUUGUACUCGCUCAUGUCAGGACCAUAUGCAACUCCGAUGCUUGGUUCAGUCCAAAACGAUGGUCUGCCCUGAGGAAGAAGCAGAGUCUGUUCAGUAGAAGGAUUGCAGAUCCAUAUCUGGAAAUCUUCUUCAUUUUCAUCAGAGAGUUGGUUGAUGCAGCAUACUAAUCCAUUGAACGAUGCUAUCAUGAGCAUGUGGUGCUCAGCGUUUCUUCCCGGAGGAUCAACUGUAGCGUGGUGUCGAAAGUUGAACUCCCCUGGCUUCAACAAAUACAGCUCCAUAGCGUUGUUUACUCUAGGACAAGCUAUGUAUGAGGGCUUCUUUCUCGAUUGAGCGAGAUGUAUCGUAGCAAAAUGUUUGUCCCUAACUGAGUCACGCCAGUAUCUGUUAACCGUUUUCACUGAACGGAUAGACCUUACUGAGAGUCGAGAUAAGAUGUCACGAAAGACAUCUUGUUUAGAUUCUACGUCAUCCCAUGUCAGUGAUGUCACUCGCCUGCGAUGCUGAGCUCGCGUCUCGACCAUUUUUUUGUUUGUUUCUUGUUGCUAAGGCUCUGCAUCGACAAAAAAAAAAUUGGUUAGCCCAUAAAAAAGUUUCAGAAACAGAUAUAUUUGCAGCAUGUAUGUGUAUUUAUCUGACUGUAAGCAGCACACAACUGCUAACUACUCGAACAAAAACAUAGCCACCUCUUGGUAUCCAUCAGAUAAAGACCAAAAAGACAGCUAACAAACACCAAUCAGAACCAAGCAAAAGGGUUUAGCAGAAGGGAAAAUGCAUCAAACCCUUCUUUCAUAUCUAUGCAUGAUAAUUUCUAACAACUGAAAACUAAUCCCUAGAGCCUAGAAAUAUGAUCUAAAUCAGUGUUCUAAAAAGCGUUCGAGAUGGCGUCGCCUAAGCGCUAAGCCUUCAUAAACAUAGUUACCCCUUGGUAUCCAUCAGAUAAAGACCAAAAAAAAGAGCUAACAAACACCAAACACCCAUCAGAACCAAGCAAAAGGGCUUAAUAGAGAGGAAAAUGCAUCAAAGCCUUCUUUCAUAUCUAUGCAUAAGGAAAAACUGAAAAAAAAAGACAAAGAGCCAAGAAAUAUGAUCUAAACCAGUGUUCUAAAAAGCGAUCUAGGCAGCGGUGCUUAGGGGCUAAGCCUUCUAAAACCAAUGGCUAUUGUUUUCUAAACCGCAUAGAAAAUUAUAAUGUCAUGAUAAUAAUUAAGUUAUUGUUAGAUCGAGAAAGAAGAAUCAUUAUACACCAACGCAAAAUCAAGAAUUUGUUGCAGAAGCAAAAUCCGUCGCCCCGGAAUCAAAAUAAUUGUUUCAUCGCCGUUUUUUACAUAUCUUUAAAGAAUCAGAACCACAUAUAAAUGAUCAUACCUAAUCCUAACCAAAGGAAACAAAUCUAACAAAUUAUCAUGUUGCAAAAUUCAGAUCUGUUGGGUUUUCUCGAGCCCAUAUCAGCCCAUUAGUACGAUAUUGUCCACUUUGGGCUUAAGAGGUAAGACCGCAUAGCUUUGUUAUUGGGCUCUUUCCCAAAAAUCUCGUAUUAAUCAGCGUUGGUGGACAUCGAUUUAUAUACUAAACAUUAUUUUUCUAACUUUUAAUAGGAGACUUUGUUUGCAUUCACAACAAGAUCUUAGAUACACAUAUAAACAUAUUGAAUACCAUAAUAGAGUUGCUAUAUACUUGAAAGCCGUCGAAAACUAUAGUUAACUUGUUAUUUUUUCGGAUAUUGACUAGAGAGAUUGAUUGAAAGUGUUCAAAAGUAUUAAUUCCGUCGACGGCUUUAAUUUAGUUGCUAAAUAAUUUUGUUUUAAGAUAUGACUAGAGGAAAAUGAGUGCAAGUUUAUUUAAGCAAGAAUAAUUUUAUUCUCAUGGACAUUUUGAUAUUUCAACUUACUGGAAUACAGUGUAUAACAGAGUACAAUCUAAUACAUGCAUUGAUUUAGAAUGGAACCCUCCCACAAAAAAAUUAGAGUGUCAAAUGGGCAUUCAUAUCUAUCCACCUUUUGGCCAUGAGUUCCUAAUAACUUGCUUACAUGUUAUAUACAUGCAGAGAAAAUGAGAUAUGUAUAUAUUCUGCCAUUUUCCAAAAUAUAGAUUUCAGAAAAUGCAGACUCUAGGAAUAGCAACAAUGACUGGUAAAAUGCUCAUCUUAAUAAGAAAAAAUGGCGAGAAAAAAGCUCAAAAAAUUUUAUUUGUUGCCUAGUUAGAUGUCUAAUUAAUGGGUCCAUUUUGCACAAAAAAAACAAUUAUUUAAAUUCAGAAAGGAUAGUUUUUCAGAAAUUUAAGAGAAAAAGUCGCAUUUGAUUUCAUAUAGAGCAGCAAGUCCCAUUCCAAAUCCAUGCAGAACAGAUGAGAAUCAUUCUAUCUUAGGCAUAUAGAAGUAGUCCUCAAGCAGAAUACAAUUCUUUCUAGUGCACACUAAUCAAUUAAUGUGUAUGAUGAUGUUAACGGAUACAUAUUUGUUACUUUCCUGAUUGUCAAAUCAAUGUAUAUGAACACAGUAGAAACUAACCUUGUGAAGUGUGUUCUACUUCGGAGACAAGACAAAGCUUAUUACUAUUGAUAAAGUCAUAAAGGCUUUACACCAAAAACAAACGUCACAAAUAAGUCUUUACACCAACAAACGGAAAACACACAAAGUUCAAAACCAAAAGAUUAGGACAUGAUGCAAACCAGAAAGCUUAAACGAAAUGGAAAGUUUUAGAACAGAAAAAUAAAAACAGAGUAUCCAGUGAGAAACACACAGCCUCUUGCAACAUAAAUCAAGCACCACCACGCAAAGACUUUGUCCAUCACCACCAGCAAGCCAGAGAUAAUAAAUACUCAUCUUCACUUUCCUGCUAGCCUCACCCCACCAUUGCCUGGCUCAAUAAAACAACAUAUCACAUUGUAUUAGAGAGCAAUGAAAAAGGAGACAUAUUAUAUCAUACAUACAUGUAUGUGUCUAUAUAGACUAUUUACAAACAUAGAGCUUACAUGGAAGAAGGCUUUCCGUGAAGGGGAAGAUAGCAGGAUUCGUAAAUCGAGUAGGAGGCCUGCCCCUUUUUUUCCACUUUCUAGUAUCCAAAUGAUAAGUCCACAAGCGCGACUCAGUCACAAACAGGAUCUCCUUCUCUAACGAGGUCAUGAAUAAUACAAUAUCACAAAAGUUCAUGGAUGGCAAAUAAUCUUCGAUUACAAGUACCCAACUAGCUUCUUUCCACUCCCAUACGUCAAAGUAAUCCACAUGUAGAACUACAAGUGACAGAGAUCCUCCCAGGUUUAUCAGAUACGUCGUAACUGUUAUCCUGUCUUCGUCACGCAGGUCUGUUGAAUAGUAAGGCAGCUUCAUAACUUCGAAGUUCUCCUCCAUAUCCACAGAGAGCAUUAUACCUGCAG
rnacentral:lncRNA from 1 species